rnacentral:snoRNA from 1 species
GGCCUCUUGUCCCUUGGGCUGCUGAGGACCCCAUUGCUCCUCAGCCAGGGCUGGAGACCAAGGUCAGUCCUAGAGGAGGAUCAUCAGAGCUGCUGGGAGUGGACAGUUUUGAUUUCCUGCCUCUGACUAGU